rnacentral:rRNA from 1 species
GAUGAACGCUGGCGGCGUGCCUAAUACAUGCAAGUCGAGCGAACAGACGAGGAGCUUGCUCCUCUGACGUUAGCGGCGGACGGGUGAGUAACACGUGGAUAACCUACCUAUAAUACUGGGAUAACUUCGGGAAACCGGAGCUAAUACCGGAUAAUAUAUUGAACCGCAUGGUUCAUUAGUGAAAGACGGUUUUGCUGUCACUUAUAGAUGGAUCCGCGCCGCAUUAGCUAGUUGGUAAGGUAACGGCUUACCAAGGCAACGAUGCGUAGCCGACCUGAGAGGGUGAUCGGCCACACUGGAACGGAGACACGGUCCAGACUCCUACGGGAGGCAGCAGUAGGGAAUCUUCCGCAAUGGGCGAAAGCCUGACGGAGCAACGCCGCGUGAGUGAUGAAGGUCUUCGGAUCGUAAAACUCUGUUAUUAGGGAAGAACAAAUGUGUAAGUAACUAUGCACGUCUUGACGGUACCUAAUCAGAAAGCCACGGCUAACUACGUG